GAUGAACGCUGGCGGCGUGCCUAAUACAUGCAAGUCGAGCGAACGGACGAGAAGCUUGCUUCUCUGAGGUUAGCGGCGGACGGGUGAGUAACACGUGGAUAACCUACCUAUAAGACUGGGAUAACUUCGGGAAACCGGAGCUAAUACCGGAUAAUAUCUUGAACCGCAUGGUUCAAAAGUGAAAGACGGUCUUGCUGUAACUUAUAGAUGGAUCCGCGCUGCAUUAGCUAGUUGGUAAGGUAACGGCUUACCAAGGCAACGAUGCAUAGCCGACCUGAGAGGGUGAUCGGCCACACUGGAACUGAGACACGGUCCAGACUCCUACGGGAGGCAGCAGUAGGGAAUCUUCCGCAAUGGGCGAAAGCCUGACGGAGCAACGCCGCGUGAGUGAUGAAGGUCUUCGGAUCGUAAAACUCUGUUAUUAGGGAAGAACAUAUGUGUAAGUAAAUGGGCACAUCUUGACGGUACCUAAUCAGAAAGCCACGGCUAACUACGUG
rnacentral:rRNA from 1 species